rnacentral:lncRNA from 1 species
CGCUAAUACUGCAUGUCGCGUCGUAGAAUUCAUAAUUCAUUUUAGUUCACAUGGCUUUCACUCAGAUGAGCCAGGCCCUGCUGGAAUGAAAGGGGAGCUGAGAAGCCUGGAGAGGAAGCCCCACACGGAAGCUGUGACGCAGCUCUCCAUCGUCUGGAGACAGUUCUCACUCUGCCGCGGGGUCCAGUCCAGAGCCUCAAGCCCAGGCUGCCUCGCACAAAGCACCAUGUCGAUUAUAAAAGCUGACAGUCUCCUCGGUGGCAAGAAGAAUAUUGUGGAUGUGUCUUCUUCCGCUGGAUUUUUAGCUCUCGGAGAGCAGAACAGGAUCUUAUUCAUCUGCAUAUCGUUUAUUCAUUGAACAUCCGUGUAUUGAAGUAAAGGAAGGCACUAACUGUAUGCACACUCACUUCCCCGCCCGCCGUGUCCUGCUGGGGCUGUAGGAUAAAGCUGAGACACUGUGAGUACGUGGGUUUCCCUGUAACAGUCGGCUUGCCUGGUGUCCAUCAUUCUAACGAAAGGAGGUCAUUGCUCAGGUGAAACCCGUGAAAGCUGAGAGCAGGGCUGGGCUGGCCUGGAGGGAACCGCUGAGUCUCUGAGGCUCACCCUCUUGGGCUUUGGCUGAGGAGGUUAGAUACCCUGGGGGUGCCUGCUUAGACAUGUCCACACGGAGCAGAAGAUGACAGCGUCCCAUAAGUGAAGCAUGAAUUAGCCACGCCACAUGGCACGCUGGUUUCAUGUUAACCCACCUGUCCCUUUGUACAGACUUGGCCUUCUCUAUUCUAGGCUUUGGGAUAUUCUGGAAGGAUUGCUCUGGACUCUGCUGUCCCCUCCCCACCCUUGUGCUAGAGUGUUACUGGAUGAAGUCACCUUGCAGGCCAGCUGUAGUGACAAUGGCAUAGGAGCUAAAGAAAUAUUUUGAGGGGAAGGUAAAUCUUGCCUCUUCCCCAAGGAGAUUCUUCCUGCAAUGAAAAUCUUGGAACAUGUUGUUUAAUUUGAUUUAGGAAAGUAAUCUUAUAAUGCAUUAUGUUUAAGACCUAGAACAAGAGGAACGUGAGCUCCUUUUAAACUGUGGUUUGUGUUUUUAUCAUGGAAACAAAAGUACGAACCCAAAAUAUCUUCUGCAAAUACACGAAGAAUCUGCAUGCCGGUCAGAACCAGAAAAAAAGCAAUUGCAAUUUGUUUUCGCCAUCUUUUGCUAAUCCAGAUGACCUUUGUAACUAAGGGACAAAAAUAAUACUUUUAAAUUCCUUGAGUAAAGCAUCGUGAAGGCAAAUAGGCUGUGAAAACCCUCAUAAUGCAUUAUGAAAUUAAAUUAAUAAAUUUUAUUAAUUCGAUGUUUGAAGCUAAGCC